rnacentral:rRNA from 1 species
CCAGACUCCUACGGGAGGCAGCAGUGAGGAAUAUUGGUCAAUGGGCUUACGCCUGAACCAGCCAAGUCGCGUGAGGGAAGACUGCCCUAUGGGUUGUAAACCUCUUUUGUCAGGGAGCAACGCCGGCUACGUGUAGCCGGACUGAGAGUACCUGAAGAAAACGCAUCGGCUAACUCCGUGCCAGCAGCCGCGGUAAUACGGAGGAUGCGAGCGUUAUCCGGAUUUAUUGGGUUUAAAGGGUGCGUAGGCGGAAUGCCAAGUCAGCGGUAAAAUCGCGGGGCGCAACCUCGCUCCGCCGUUGAAACUGUCGGACUGGAGACGGCGAGAAGUACGCGGAAUGCGCGGUGUAGCGGUGAAAUGCAUAGAUAUCGCGCAGAACUCCGAUUGCGAAGGCAGCGUACCGGCGCCGGACUGACGCUGAGGCACGAAAGCGUGGGUAUCGAACAGGAUUAGAUACCCUCGUACAU